rnacentral:lncRNA from 10 species
GUGACCCUCCGGCCUCGGCUUCCCAAAGUGCUGGGAUUACAGGUGUGAGCCACCGCGCCGGGCAGCAAUAAGGAUUUUUAUCCAGAAUCUAGUUUGGGGGAAGUUAUGCAAAUACACAUAUAUAUAUAUAUAUAUAUAUAUAUAUAUAUAUAUAUAUAUAUAUAUACGCACACAUACAUUUAAGGACUAAAUUCUCUUAUGAUGUUAACAUGAAUGCAUUUUGCAAAUAUGCUUGUAAUUUUUCAAAAUAUACCUGAUUUGAAUGUAAUGGAAACAAUAGGAAUGCCUGUAUAAGUUAGCAAGAAAUUUGAGAAAACUACUCUGAAAUUCUUUUUAAAAAUGAUACAUGUACUCCUUUGCCCAGAAUGUUUCAAAGGUACUUCUUUCCAUUUGUUUUUAGAUUUAUGACUCUAGAAUUCCAUUUAGAAGAACUCUCAUUCAAAUGCAGAAAAGAAAGGGAGCCCAAAGGGAAGAUAGAAGUGACUCACUGACAUAAAAUAGGCUGAGAAACAGAUAGACUCAAGACUUUUAUCACGUCCUUCCUUGGCUGAAGAAAAAGAGAUUAAGCCAUUGUUUUCUUCAUUUAUACAACGAGAUAGAAAUAUUGUCAGAACUGCCCUGAGAUUGCACUUGUUGUGAAAAAAAAAUUAGAUCAGAUUAAAAAAAAAAAGGUGUUUGUAGCUUUAUAAAAACAAGUCCUUAAUACUUCUUAAGGGAUCAUUUGAACUUCCCGGCUUAGAAAAUUGCUGCUUUAAUUUUCUUUCAAAAGGGCACUUCAAGCUGAAAUUUAUAAUUCUCCUUUAAGUCUAAAACAGAAGUUACAUGAUACUACCUGCAAUUUUUCUAACUAAAAACAACCAGAUUCACAUGCUCCGAACUUGGAAAAUGAAUUUGUUACAUGACUGUGGUAACAAGAGAUGCAUUGCAUAAACAGUGGGGAGUUGGUGUAUUCCCAAAGUUUUUCAUUUAUUGGAUUUUACUUUCUAUAAUUUAAUAUUUGAAAUAAAAGAAAUUGUAGUAGGUAAAUAAAGCCAAGUUCUCUAGAGACAGAAAAUUCUAGAUUUUUAAUCUGUCUGCACAACUAAUGAUCUCUAUGACUGUGUGUCUCAGUUUGCUUAUUUUGAAAAUGAGGAUGUUCAUUUCACAUUGUAGUUUGGAUGAUUAAUUGUGCUUACUGCAUAUAACGCACUCAGCAUAAUAUGUGUUCAAAAAUAAAAUAUCAUAACGCCUAAAAUAUCCAAAUAAUCAAGUUAUAUUUGUCAGAGUUCUUUCAUACAUAGAUCAUUUAAGUCAAAUUCAGAAUAGUUAAACAAAAAAACAAACAAUACAAUAAGUAUUAAUAUACAGAGAUUUGACUGGCGGGAUUUUAGGAGUACAAAUCAUGCCAGCAGGAUUUUAUUUUAUUCAUCCCUCACUUGGGUCUUUGUAUCUGUUGGCUUUAUUUUCAGUAAAGAUGUCUCCAUAUAAUAGUAAACUUGUUGGUCAUUUGUUCAGACUUAUUUGUUUCUCAGAAAUUCUAGACACAGAACUCCCCAAUGUCUAGAAAAAUGCUGAAUAAGAGCUUUGGUUGGCCUUGAAUUGAGUUGGGUCUCUAACCUAAACCAUCACAAUGGCCAGGAAAUGGCUGUUCUCUGAUCUGCUUCAUGAGACCCUGUGCUUCACAUUAUGUCAGGAGAGAAUCAGGUAAGCUUCUUUAAAACACAGAAGAGAUUCUGUUACCAGGAGAUGGGAUGGUUAAGCAUGUAGGGAAGAAAAAAAAAAUCUAUCUAGCUCUCUAUUCAUCUAUCUAUCUAUCUCUAUUUAUCUGUCUACAAAUCCUAGGCUUCUCUUCCAAUUGCCGUCAAUCAUUUUGGAGUCAUCAAUAAUUUAAGAGUUUUAAAAAGGGGUACUGAGAACAAAAUACGAUCAACUUUGAUGCUCUAUUGGUAGAUAGAUGCAAUAUGUUAAACAAGAAAAUAUUAAACACAGAAAAGUACCUAAUCACAUAUUCCACUACCUGUGAGAAUAAUGUCACACAAGUAAUGUAGCUUUGGAAAACUUAACUGAUAAUAUGACAGUGAAAAGGACAAGAUAGCAGCUUUGUAAAUUAAUUUUGUCCUCAUGGAAGUCCUAAAAGUGUCUAGCAGAGGCCCAGGUAUCUGCAGACCCCACAUUCAAAAAGCCUGCUCGAGCCCAUCAUGUCACCAUAUAUGGGAAAUACACAAGAAAUCUUUCCCUCCCCUCCAAGCAUACAGCCACUUCCGUGGAUAAGGUGGAACUAAUUCACUCUACUGUAGCCAACUCUAGCAGUUCUAACUGUUAUAAUGCCACUGGGAUAAUCUUUAUAGGCUUCAAAUUUAAAAGCCAUAGACUUAUUCAGCAUAUUUAACUACUUUCUAUUUCUGUACAUAAUGGAUCAAACCCACUUUAUAUUAUAUAAUUUUUUUUUAAAUUUGGGUCUUGCCUCUUCUUUCAUCUCUUCAUUGCAUUCUAUGUUUGAACAAUACUAAACAAGAUGAUCAGAAAAAUGCGCUCAGAGACCUUUACUUAAAACAAUGCUCUGGCAUCUCCUAUAAUUCAUUUCAGUAUUUCUCACCAUAAAGUUCACUCAAACAAAACUUUUCAAUUUAUAGUAUUUUAUUUGUAUCCAAGAGGUAGGUUUACUUACAAUUUAUAUAUGUUCCUUGAUACUUUCAACAUGGAUUCAAACUCCCAAUUAAACUUAAAAAACAUCAGGGGAAUAAACUCAAAGGAUACUUGUCUUGAAAGAUUGCCCUAGAACUCUGCAAACGACCACUCAAUUUGUAAACGGGAUCACUAAUUAAAUGUGAAAUAUAUGCAUGUCCAUUUGGAUGAUCAGGAUUGUAACUGUAGGACCUCACUUACAAAUCCAAUUCUGCAUCGUUUCUUUUACAUUUCAAAUUAAGAGAAACAAUUCUAUUUUUAGAUUUGUGUCAUAAAACUAUAAUAUUUUUAUUACUAAAUUUUAAUGGAAAUGUUUAUGAUUAUUUGAGUCUGUGUCUGCACACAAAAAUCUGA